rnacentral:lncRNA from 9 species
GGGUAUGACGUCACAGACGGUCCUGUUCUGAGGUCUCCAGGAGUUCAAGGCUGUUCUGGCUGAAGGAUUUCAGUUGUUUUACUUCUCUCCUUGGGUACACAGACCAUGGCAAAGAAGAGAGGAGCGGAGACCCUCUUGUUUCUUCUCUUCCUGGAUUAUUGGCAAGGUGCAGAGCUCCACCCUUUGCACCUCAUCAAAGGUUCAAGUACUGAAUUUUCAUCAAGUUCAAACUAUAUGGACAAAGGUUUGGCUAAACUCUUUGAUGAAAUUCUACUGCAAGUGUUUUCCAAAGUUCCAUUUGAUGAGACAAGAGGAACAGCAGACAAAUCACUUACAAAGAGAGAUGUGGAAGAAAGUUAUCCUCAACAGAAGAGCUCGAGAGAUGCCAAAUUUACAUUGAGUUCAAGUAAGCAAGAAGAACAUUUGGCUAGAUUAUUUGAUGAAAUUCUACUGCAAGUGUUUUCCAAAGUUCCAUAUGAUGCACCAUUUGAUGAAACAAGACAAACAGUGGACAAAUCAGUUACGAAGAGAACCAUGAAAGAAAGUCACAUUGCAGAGGAGAAGAGGGAGAAAGAAUCUUCUCUAUUCAACAGGGAUGUAAGUGAUGAGCCGUUAACUACCACAGAUAAAGGAGCACUCCAAGAAGCAAGCAGUCCAAGUGUUCCGAAUAGGACUAUGCCAUGUGCACAGCUUCUGCAGUUCCUUCAGAGGAACAUCAUUAGUGCUUCUGCCGCGGUGGCGGGAAUCCUCGUGGCCACAGUGUUGCUGCUGCUGGUGUUGAUCACAUACAUCCGGAGGAAACAGCUAUUAUAUCCUCCAGAAAACAUGACCUAUAAUAUUUUUAUAAUGAAUGGAAAGACUUGGUGGCAAAAGUCUCAAGAAAAGAAGACCAGAAAACACACGGGGAAACAGAAACAGCUGAAGUUAAAUUCCAGUGUCUAAACCAGGUGGGCGGCCAGCCAACUGGCACUUAAAGCUGUGAGGUGAGACGAUCUCCAUCCUGACACCGUGGAGAGGCCAUUGGCUUCCUGGCUGCAUGUGAGGUGCACCCUCCAAAACGUUUACCUCUUCCUCUCAAUUUUGAAUGGACCAAGAAAACAAUGUUUGCUCA